UUGGUGGUUCAGUGGUAGAAUUCUCGCCUGCC
rnacentral:piRNA from 5 species